AGAGUUUGAUCAUGGCUCAGGAUGAACGCUGGCGGCGUGCCUAAUACAUGCAAGUCGAACGAACUUCCGUUAAUUGAUUAUGACGUACUUGUACUGAUUGAGAUUUUAACACGAAGUUAGUGGCGAACGGGUGAGUAACACGUGGGUAACCUGCCCAGAAGUAGGGGAUAACACCUGGAAACAGAUGCUAAUACCGUAUAACAGAGAAAACCGCAUGGUUUUCUUUUAAAAGAUGGCUCUGCUAUCACUUCUGGAUGGACCCGCGGCGUAUUAGCUAGUUGGUGAGGUAAAGGCUCACCAAGGCAGUGAUACGUAGCCGACCUGAGAGGGUAAUCGGCCACAUUGGGACUGAGACACGGCCCAGACUCCUACGGGAGGCAGCAGUAGGGAAUCUUCCACAAUGGACGCAAGUCUGAUGGAGCAACGCCGCGUGAGUGAAGAAGGGUUUCGGCUCGUAAAGCUCUGUUGUUAAAGAAGAACGUGGGUAAGAGUAACUGUUUACCCAGUGACGGUAUUUAACCAGAAAGCCACGGCUAACUACGUGCCAGCAGCCGCGGUAAUACGUAGGUGGCAAGCGUUAUCCGGAUUUAUUGGGCGUAAAGCGAGCGCAGGCGGUCUUUUAAGUCUAAUGUGAAAGCCUUCGGCUCAACCGAAGAAGUGCAUUGGAAACUGGGAGACUUGAGUGCAGAAGAGGACAGUGGAACUCCAUGUGUAGCGGUGAAAUGCGUAGAUAUAUGGAAGAACACCAGUGGCGAAGGCGGCUGUCUGGUCUGCAACUGACGCUGAGGCUCGAAAGCAUGGGUAGCGAACAGGAUUAGAUACCCUGGUAGUCCAUGCCGUAAACGAUGAUUACUAAGUGUUGGAGGGUUUCCGCCCUUCAGUGCUGCAGCUAACGCAUUAAGUAAUCCGCCUGGGGAGUACGAC
rnacentral:rRNA from 1 species